rnacentral:rRNA from 1 species
GAUGAACGCUGGCGGCGUGCUUAACACAUGCAAGUCGAACGGAAAGGCCCUGCUUUUGUGGGGUGCUCGAGUGGCGAACGGGUGAGUAACACGUGAGUAACCUGCCCUUGACUUUGGGAUAACUUCAGGAAACUGGGGCUAAUACCGGAUAGGAGCUCCUGCUGCAUGGUGGGGGUUGGAAAGUUUCGGCGGUUGGGGAUGGACUCGCGGCUUAUCAGCUUGUUGGUGGGGUAGUGGCUUACCAAGGCUUUGACGGGUAGCCGGCCUGAGAGGGUGACCGGCCACAUUGGGACUGAGAUACGGCCCAGACUCCUACGGGGGGCAGCAGUGGGGAAUAUUGCGCAAUGGGCGGAAGCCUGAUGCAGCAACGCCGCGUGCGGGAUGACGGCCUUCGGGUUGUAAACCGCUUUCGCCUGUGACGAAGCGUGAGUGACGGUAAUGGGUAAAGAAGCACCGGCUAACUACGUG